rnacentral:rRNA from 1 species
GACGAACGCUGGCGGCGUGCUUAACACAUGCAAGUCGAACGGAAAGGCCCUGCUUUUGUGGGGUGCUCGAGUGGCGAACGGGUGAGUAACACGUGAGUAACCUGCCCUUGACUUUGGGAUAACUUCAGGAAACUGGGGCUAAUACCGGAUAGGAGCUCCUGCUGCAUGGUGGGGGUUGGAAAGUUUCGGCGGUUGGGGAUGGACUCGCGGCUUAUCAGCUUGUUGGUGGGGUAGUGGCUUACCAAGGCUUUGACGGGUAGCCGGCCUGAGAGGGUGACCGGCGACAAUGGGACUGAGAUACGGACCAGACGCCUAUGGGAGGCAGUAGUGGGGAAUAUGGCACAAUGGGCGGACGCCUGAUGCAGCAACGCCGCGUGCGGGAUGACGGCCUUCGGGUGGUAAACCGCUUUCGCCUGUGACGAAGCGUGAGUGACGGUAAUGGGUAAAGAAGCACCGGCUAACUACGUG